GUUAUAUUUCAGUACGCAUGAGAAAGCUGACAAAGCCUGAUUCUUCUAACUGAGGAUAGUUGUGUGGCUAAGGUGGCGCACUAGGAUCUAGAAAUCCGGUUAAGGAGUCUGACUGUAGCUAGUUGUUGACCAACAGUAUGGGGAACAUUAUGGUUGCAUAUAGUCAUUUGAUGAUGGAUGUGAGCACAAAAUGGGGAAUUUGGUCUAGCUCUAUUGUGGAAACAUUGCUGUUGGGCGUAAGAAAAAAGCUUCUUGUUUUCCAAAGCUUCACCUUGGAGCCGAGUUAAUAUCGACAGUGUCCCUUCAACUUUGUACCAUUAAAAGCUGCGGGUGGGUAUUUUCUCAGAACUAGCAGUGACCACAUGAAAAACAUUAUUAACUAAAGGUCAAAGGUGAGAUUUUCAAACGCUCUCCGCCUUGGCUUCAAUGAGACCAUGAGACCAACGGAGAGCACUUUA